GCGCCCAUAGCUCAGUGGAUAGAGCAUCCCGCUUCGGACGGGAGGGUCGGGAGUUCGAAUCUCUCUGGGCGCA
rnacentral:tRNA from 1 species